rnacentral:lncRNA from 1 species
CCUGAGUGUAUGUGUGUGUAUCACAUAUAUGCUUUGCAUCAAUGGAUGCCAGAAGAAUAUGCUGGAACCUCUGGUUCUGGAGUUACAGACUAUUGUGAGUUACCAUGUGUGUGUGCUAGGAACUGAACCUGGGUCUUCUGCAAGAGCAAUCAACAUUCUUAUCUGCUGAGCCAUCUCUCCAACCCUGAUAGUAGAGAUAGUUUUAACAUUUUCUAUUUACUGUGUAUUUUUAAAUGUAUGAGUGCUCAUGUGUGCUUUCAUGCAAAACACCAUCCAACACAACUGACUUGCAUGUAUGCCUGCAUGCCAGAAGAGGGCAUUGGAUCCCAUUACGGAUGGUUGUGAUCCAAUCAUAUGGUUGCUGGGAAUUGAACUUAGGACCUCUGGAAGAACAGCCAGUGCUCUUAACCGCUGAGCCAUCUCUCCAGCCCCGGGAGUGAUAUUUUCAAUGGUUUGUAUUUAAAUGGCUAGUGAAAUGAAAAGUGGAUGACUCUAUAUCAGGACUUAGUCAUUUUAGUCCAGAAAAACCUCCCAGGCUCUGACUCCAUGCCCUGAACCAUGCUAUCGUGUGGAGUGGCUGCUUACAAUGACACGGAUGAUCUGCAUCAGAGCAAAGAAGAAAACUGCUCUCUCAGGUGCCAUUUUUCCCCUCAGGAGAGAUGCUGAGCUCACUGGACGGCACCACACACAUCCAAGGUUCCAUACACUGAAAUCCUGCUGCUGAAAUGAAGUCCCAGAUAGGUCAUACCACUACUGCUGCUAUCCUCAUACUACUGAAUUAGACUGCUGGUGUAUCCCUGAAGUGUUUGGGAGUGGAUUGAGCUGCCUCUGCUAACCUGUGAACUGACCUGCCAAUUUCCAGACAACACAAAUGGGAGUUGCUCCGAAGAACCUUUCUAAACAGGUCCACUUUCUCCCCCCACCCCGUAUCCUUUCUUUUCCACUACCUCUGGUGGGUCAUGGGUAAAAAGGGAGGUUAAAGAAUUUAAGAACCAUCAGUUAAAAUAGGCUUUGACAGGGCUGGAGAG